UAUUUUUGUUAUUGUUUUUGUUUUAUUACAAUUUAUCACAACAUUAAAUUAUAUCAGAACGAUAAUUCGAAACAACGAAAUAAUUCGAUUAUAAGUAUCAGACAUAUAGAUCUGAAAAUUGAGAGAAAAAUAAUGAAGAAAGGAAGAGAUAAAAAUGAAAGAAACAAAAAAGAGGAACAAAAGGAAAAAGAAACAAAUGGAAUUAAUGAAAUUCUACAUAUGAACGAAAUGGAAUAAUAGAUAAAUAACAACGUCGUAUCAGAACGAUAUUGCUUUGAAUUGAUAAGAAAUAAGAAGAGGUUAGAAAAAUCGUACACGAUCGAGGAAGAUAUUAAGACAAGUUUUAAGCGUAGUUAUUUCUAUCAGGAAUGCAAAAGUGAAUAUCACAGACAGUAAGCGCCAUUUUGGUAACUAGUCUUGCGGCUCUUUUAUUCUACAUUAUCUCGGUAGUUGUAUGUUGUACAUACAACGCCGCGUGUGGUAUUAGCAAUGGAACGGUAGCAGCUGAGAAAGCGGUCGGUAGAUGGUUAGACGUAGAGGAGGAGUAAGAGGAGGGAAGCAAGCAAGCAAGCAAGCAAGCAAGCAAGUAAGCAAGCAAGUCAGCCAGCAAGCAAGCAAGCAAGGAAGAAAGCACGCUAGCAAGCAAGCUAGCAAGCGAACGAGUGAGUGAGUGAGCAAACGAGCGAGCGAGCGAGCAAGCAAGCAAGCAAGCAAGCAAGCAAGCAAGCAACGACGUUCCACCGACAGUACCGCGCUUGAAAGAUGGCGGAGGGUAAUUCGAAAGCGCGCGUUAUAUAGUCGCUCGUUGAACGCGCAUGCGCAAUGACAGUAACUCGCGUGGCCGCGAUGGUGUCGAUGGGCGUGGCCAAUUCGCCAACGAACUUGCACCGGCUGGCACUGUGUUGCUCCCUGCAAAAAACCACACGGAAUACGAC